GUCAAUGGUGGCGCCGAGCUUGCCGCCUGAUGUCACGAGCUUGUUAAUGGCGGCUCCGAGCUCGUCAACGGUGGUUCAGAAUUCGUCUCAUGUUGCUUCGAACUCGUUAAUGGCGGCUUCAAGCUCAUCUCCUGUUGUUACGAGCUCGUCGAUGGCGGAUCCAAGUUCGCCUCCUGAUGUUCCGAGCUCGUCGAUGGCAGCUCCGAGCUCACCUCCUGAUGUCCCGAGCUCGUCGAUGGCGGCUCCGAGCUCACCUCCUGAUGUCCCGAACUCGUCAAUGGCGGCUCCGAGCUUGUCAAUGUUGGCUCUGAGUUCGUCUCCUGUUGCUCCACACUCGUUAGUGGCGAUUCCAAGCUCAUCUCCUGUUGCUCCGAACUCGUCGAUGGUGGCUUCGAGUUCGAUCUCGUCUGUUGCUGCUUCGGAUCCUUUGUCGAUGAAAGAGUGUGGUCUGGAUGCGGAGGGCACGAGCUUGCCAUUGGUGGGGACGAGCUCGGCUUUUGUUUCAAGCUCGUCUGUUCCUAGCUCAUUUCUUGGUUCGAGCUUGUCGCUUGCUGUCCCAAGCUUGCCGUUGUCGAUAGAGCCGUGUCGCGGUGAGGUGGGGUUGAGCUCGUCGUCUACUGGUUCGAGCCCGUCUCUCAUUCCGAACUUAUCUUCUGUUGUGCCAAGCAUGCCGUCGGUGAUGGAAAAGUCGGAGCUGAGUUCGUCGAUUGGUAUGCCGUUGGAUGGGAAGGUUGCUUGUGAGCAGCUGUCUUUGUUAGUUCGUAAGAUGGAGCUUGCUGAUGGCCGCAAGUCGUGGUCGGAGAUUGCCGAAUCUGUCAUUGUUGUUGAGUUAGGUACUCUUACGGGAAGUGAAGCAGAAGACAGGGUAAGCGCGAGUUUGAUCGAGGAAGGGACCAGGUUUCUUUUUGAUGAGCACAGGACAAAUUUGGUGGCGGAGCCUGGUGUUGGAGGGUCGAAGUUGUCUUUGAAAACGCUUCCUGUUGUCUCGAGUUAGUCAUCUUUGGUGAAGAAGACUAUGUUGGAAACUGUUUGGGAACAUGAGUAGAUGCAGUUGGCGAAAUCCUCUCGAGCGAGAGAGUCGUCGUCGAAAACUACGAGUUCCUCUGAUGGUAGUUCGCACUCGAGUUCUCAUAGUGAGGAAUCUGUGGAUGGUGCUGAUAGUGAAUUUGAUAAUGCCGCUGGAGAUGAUAGACGAGAUGAUGAUGUUGAAAACGUUGAUGUUGAAGAUGAUGGUGCUCUGGGAGACGCCGAUGAUAAGCAGAAUGGAACCAGUGACGUUAAUGUUGGUGAGGAAAGUGAGCAAGAAAAGUUUGCUAGUGACGGUGAUUAUGAUGCUGUUGGAGAUGAUGAGAUGGGUGACCAAGAUGGUUUUGAUGAACGUAGUGAUUUUAGUGGUGAGUGUGAUGAUUUUAGUGAUGAGCAGGAUAGUUUUAGUGGUGAGCAAAGCGGUGUUAGUGGUAGUCUAGGAAUCGCUGUUGUAGGCGAUGAGAGGGAUGAUGCCGAUGGAGGCAGUGAUCGUCGAGCCAACGUUAUCGAUAUUUUGAGAAAAAUAAAACAAGAAAGCUUGGCUGCCUCCCAUGCUGAUUCGCUUGAUGCCUUUGGUGAUCCUUGUGGCUAUGUGAAGAAGAAGAAAACGAGGGUUAGGAAGGCGAGGGAAAGGCCUAGGAGUUUCAUAGGUCCUCUUGUUAAUCAUCCGGAUCCAUCGGAGUCAUUUCCUUCUAUUGUUGAUGAUGAUACAAUCAAGUGGAUCUCAGCCAACUGUUGUUGUAAUGGCGUCAUAAAAGCGCGUAUUCCCGGCGAGGAUGAACGUCCGUGGACGGUUCCGGAUGGGUGGCUUUGUGUUUAUGACUUCUGGUUCACCGAGUAUCAUUUGUGGUUUCCCCUCCCGAGGUUGCUGCUGGCGUAUUGUGAUGAUCAUCUUAUUGCACUGGCUCAACUUACUCCUGCUGCAAUUCGAAAUAUAGUUGCGGCUCUGUUCACGGCCACGGAUAUUGGUGUUCACAUGAGCCUAUGUUUGUUUGAACGUAUAGCGCAUAUUACUCGGUGUGAUAAGACGGAUGGGGCUUUUUAUGUGUCUAUGAAGACUGGCUGUGGUGCUGUAAGGGAGAGGAAGAGAAAAACUUUAUGUUGGAUUAAGAAGUUUUUUUAUGUUCGAAUUGCAACUUCGCCGGUUCCUGAUGUUUCUGAUAUGAGUGCCCCUUUUAGGAGUAGUUGGAAAUCUUACAAUGGUCGUCACUUAGUUGGUGUUCCUCUUGCUCCUGGUGAUAGUGAGUGCGUGGACUACUUUAAGGCCUGGCGGUCGGAGGUUUGGCAGUGCAUUCCGUUUAUUGACUCAGCUUGUUGGAGGAAGAUGGAUUUGAGCGAGAUUCCGAGUUUGGUUGACUGUUUUGCUGGAGGUAGUGCCGAUGCUUCUGUUGUUUAGUCUGGUACCCCCGGUGUGGAACUUUUGACAUCUGCUCGUAAUAUUGUUAUGGGUCUUACUAGCACGACAUCUCCUGUACCGCCCACUGGUGUUUCUGGAAGGGAGGUUGUUGUUGCUGGCAGUGAGAAGGUUGUGAAGAAAAGAGCUGCCGCUGGUCAUUCAUCCAAGGACGCGCCGGCUUCGAAAUCUUGCAAAGUUGCGAGCUCUGAUGUUGAGCUGCCUUCGGUGGUUGAGUUGCCUGCUGCGGAGAAGGCUACGUUUGAACCGUUUGAGCAUUCGUUCAACGGUUUGUCCUCGGGAUGUGGUGAUCUUUUCAAGUUGUUUCAAUCACCUGGUGGUGUUGAUGGUUUGCCUUUUGACCAAGUUAGGCGUGGUGAGUGGUAUCAAGAGUUCGCUCGUCACUUGGCCAUUAUGAGGAGCUUGAAGAGGUGAAGGCGGAGCUUG